rnacentral:rRNA from 1 species
GCCUAGGAAUCUGCCUGGUAGUGGGGGACAACGUUUCGAAAGGAACGCUAAUACCGCAUACGUCCUACGGGAGAAAGCAGGGGACCUUCGGGCCUUGCGCUAUCAGAUGAGCCUAGGUCGGAUUAGCUAGUUGGUGAGGUAAUGGCUCACCAAGGCUACGAUCCGUAACUGGUCUGAGAGGAUGAUCAGUCACACUGGAACUGAGACACGGUCCAGACUCCUACGGGAGGCAGCAGUGGGGAAUAUUGGACAAUGGGCGAAAGCCUGAUCCAGCCAUGCCGCGUGUGUGGAGAAGGUCUUAGGAUCGUAAAGCACUUUAAGUUGGGAGGAAGGGCAGUAAAUUAAUACUUUGCUGUUUUGACGUUACCGACAGAAUAAGCACCGGCUAACUCUGUGCCAGCAGCCGCGGUAAUACAGAGGGUGCAAGCGUUAAUCGGAAUUACUGGGCGUAAAGCGCGCGUAGGUGGUUCGUUAAGUUGGAUGUGAAAUCCCCGGGCUCAACCUGGGAACUGCAUUCAAAACUGUCGAGCUAGAGUAUGGUAGAGGGUGGUGGAAUUUCCUG